GCAUAUAGAUUCUGGAAUUGGGGU
rnacentral:piRNA from 1 species